AUGAAUUUUGUUUUGACGGUUAAGAGAGAGGUUGAGAUUAUGGUUGAGGCUGAAAAUUUGUUAUUCUUCUUUUUCUAUUAUCAAUUUGUUGAGAUUCUGUUGGAAGUUGGUAUCCUCCUCCUCUCUUUUCUCUUACAUUAUGUUCUGUUAGAAGAAGUUUGUUGGGAGAUGGUGAAAUUCUAUUUUGUUUUCUGUUGUUUUGGUUAG